UGCUCUGAUGAAAUCACCAAUAGGAAGUGCCGUCAGAAGCGGUAACUGACGAUAAUUCCUGGCUGACU
rnacentral:snoRNA from 12 species